GGGGAUGUGGCGGAAUUGGCAGACGCGCUGGAUUUAGGUUCCAGUUCCUCAGGGAGUGCAGGUUCGACUCCUGUCAUCCCCA
rnacentral:tRNA from 1 species